CCUGACGACCAUAGCAAGGUGGCCCCACUCCUUCCCAUCCCGAACAGGACAGUGAAACGCCUUCGCGCCGAUGAUAGUUGGUUUACGCCUGUGAAAGUAGGUCAUCGUUAGGC
rnacentral:rRNA from 1 species